AUCUUGCAUCCCGAACCCUUUAGUGGGUGCCAACCGAGCAGAGAAGCCACGGUGGCAAAACGAUGCGGGCAUUAUGCCAAAACAUAUUCCGAGACA
rnacentral:ncRNA from 1 species